CUACGGGAUGCUCCAGUGAGGAAUAUUGCACAAUGGGGGGAACCCUGAUGUAGCAACGCCGCGUGGAGGAUGACGCAUUUCGGUGUGUAAACUCCUUUUAUAUGUCAAGAAAAAUGACGGUAGCAUAUGAAUAAGCACCGGCUAACUCCGUGCCAGCAGCCGCGGUAAUACGGAGGGUGCAAGCGUUACUCGGAAUCACUGGGCGUAAAGGACGCGUAGGCGGGUUGGAAAGUCAGGUGUGAAAUCCUACAGCUUAACUGUAGAACUGCACUUGAAACUUCUAAUCUAGAGUAUGGGAGGGGGAGAUGGAAUUAGUGGUGUAGGGGUAAAAUCCGUAGAUAUCACUAGGAAUACCUAAAGCGAAGGCGAUCUCCUGGAACAUUACUGACGCUAAGGCGCGAAAGCGUGGGGAGCAAACAGGAUUAGAUACCCGCGUAGUC
rnacentral:rRNA from 1 species